rnacentral:rRNA from 1 species
CCUACGGGAGGCAGCAGUGGGGAAUAUUGCACAAUGGGCGCAAGCCUGAUGCAGCCAUGCCGCGUGUGUGAAGAAGGCCUUCGGGUUGUAAAGCACUUUCAGCGGGGAGGAAGGCGGUGAGGUUAAUAACCUCAUCGAUUGACGUUACCCGCAGAAGAAGCACCGGCUAACACCGUGCCAGCAGCCGCGGUAAUACGGAGGGUGCAAGCGUUAAUCGGAAUUACUGGGCGUAAAGCGCACGCAGGCGGUCUGUCAAGUCGGAUGUGAAAUCCCCGGGCUCAACCUGGGAACUGCAUUCGAAACUGGCAGGCUAGAGUCUUGUAGAGGGGGGUAGAAUUCCAGGUGUAGCGGUGAAAUGCGUAGAGAUCUGGAGGAAUACCGGUGGCGAAGGCGCCCCCCUGGACAAAGACUGACGCUCAGGUGCGAAAGCGUGGGGAGCAAACAGGAUUAGAUACCCUAGUAGUC